AUACGGAGGAUCCGAGCGUUAUCCGGAUUUAUUGGGUUUAAAGGGAGCGUAGGUGGCUUGUUAAGUCAGUUGUGAAAGUUUGCGGCUCAACCGUAAAAUUGCAGUUGAAACUGGCAGUCUUGAGUACAGUAGAGGUGGGCGGAAUUCGUGGGGUAGCGGUGAAAUGCUUAGAUAUCACGAAGAACUCCGAUUGCGAAGGCAGCUCACUAGACUGUUACUGACACUGAUGCUCGAAAGUGUGGGUAUCAAACAGGAUUAGAUACCCUGGUAGUCCACACAGUAAACGAUGAAUACUCGCUGUUUGCGAUAUACAGUAAGCGGCCAAGCGAAAGCAUUAAGUAUUCCACCUGGGGAGUACGCCGGCAACGGUGAAACUCAAAUGAAUUGACGGGG
rnacentral:rRNA from 1 species